rnacentral:rRNA from 1 species
GACGAACGCUGGCGGCGUGCUUAACACAUGCAAGUCGAACGAAGAGCGAUGGAAGCUUGCUUCUAUCAAUCUUAGUGGCGAACGGGUGAGUAACGCGUAAUCAACCUGCCCUUCAGAGGGGGACAACAGUUGGAAACGACUGCUAAUACCGCAUACGAUCUAAUCUCGGCAUCGAGGAUAGAUGAAAGGUGGCCUCUACAUGUAAGCUAUCACUGAAGGAGGGGAUUGCGUCUGAUUAGCUAGUUGGAGGGGUAACGGCCCACCAAGGCGAUGAUCAGUAGCCGGUCUGAGAGGAUGAACGGCCACAUUGGGACUGAGACACGGCCCAGACUCCUACGGGAGGCAGCAGUGGGGAAUCUUCCGCAAUGGACGAAAGUCUGACGGAGCAACGCCGCGUGAGUGAUGACGGCCGUCGGGUUGUAAAGCUCUGUUAAUCAGGACGAAAGGCCUUCUUGCGAAUAGUGAGAAGGAUUGACGGUACCGGAAGAGAAAGCCACGGCUAACUACGUG